GACGAAUGCUGGCGGCGUGCUUAACACAUGCAAGUCGAACGGAAAGGCCCUGCUUUUGUGGGGUGCUCGAGUGGCGAACGGGUGAGUAACACGUGAGUAACCUGCCCUUGACUUUGGGAUAACUUCAGGAAACUGGGGCUAAUACCGGAUAGGAGCUCCUGCUGCAUGGUGGGGGUUGGAAAGUUUCGGCGGUUGGGGAUGGACUCGCGGCUUAUCAGCUUGUUGGUGGGGUAGUGGCUUACCAAGGCUUUGACGGGUAGCCGGCCUGAGAGGGUGACCGGCCACAUUGGGACUGAGAUACGGCCCAGACUCCUACGGGAGGCAGCAGUGGGGAAUAUUGCACAAUGGGCGGAAGCCUGAUGCAGCAACGCCGCGUGCGGGAUGACGGCCUUCGGGUUGUAAACCGCUUUCGCCUGUGACGAAGCGUGAGUGACGGUAAUGGGUGAAGAAGCACCGGCUAACUACGUG
rnacentral:rRNA from 1 species